GCGCAGCUAGUUUAGUGGUAGAAUUCGAGAUUGCCAAUCUCGUGACCCGAGUUCGAUUCUCGGGCUGCGCA
rnacentral:tRNA from 1 species